rnacentral:misc_RNA from 1 species
GACGGGCUGGAAAACACCGGGCACUGCGUGGCCUGUCUCACUGGAAACUACCCAACAGAUCUAGACUGGUGAGGAGUGGAUCCAACCAUUUGUGGAGGUGGAUUAAAGACGAAAAUUAUUUUUUUUUGUGGCUGUGAUUUAAAAAAAUUUAAGUGCUGGUGAAAUGGGGUGCCAAUUUCUGAACAGUUGUCUCAAAAUAUCUGCUAUGAACACACAUAAUUGUGCCAAUCUUAUUUAUGUAGUGAAUUCCAUUCAUGUACAUGUAUUGUGGACACUUAGUCCGAGGUCCCUUGAAUGAUAUUACAAUAUCCAGCUCAAAGAUUCAGGGCUUCUUAUUAUCAGAACAAAGUUGAAAUGCAUGACACCAAAUUUAUUACUGGUACAUGUUUGUAUGUAUAGUGUACAUUUGUGUUUAGAUAUGUUCUCAUUUGAAUUUUCUUUAAAUUGUGUUGAAAACAAUUGCAAUGUACAAGUUUCAUUAGUGUGUAUGGUUGAGAUGCAAAACUCAACUUCAUAUUUCAUGUAUCAUAUUUUAAUAAUCUCCCAUGAAACCAUAAUUUGAUGUUCACAAUUUUUUACAAAAUUGACAGUUUAAUAUAAUUAAGCUCAUUGAAUUUGAUCCACUUUCCUUAAUUAAAUCUUCUGUGAUUAAAUCAACAUCUUCAUACAUGUUAAAGCACAGAUCAAUUCCAAACUGUAUAAUUGUUUGCUAGGGAGGCUUAUGAAUCUCUGUAAAUAAAUACUCACUUUAUGUACAUAAAUUUUAAUGAUGGUCAUGUGGAUACAAUAUUAUUUAUAUUGGAAAAGUGCUCAAAAUUUGUUUGCAUUUUCCAAUUUUUAUGUUAAAUUUACUGGACUACAUUUGUAAAAUAAUUUUUAAAGUUUCAAUAAAUUCAAAUUCAAAAGCU